ensembl:lncRNA
CUGAUUCCUUUGCUUUCUUGUCCCAGACAUUCAGCUAGAGAAGAGAAGCUUUAUGAAACUCAUUUGAUAAGUAAGUGAGAACUGAGCAGCUUGCAUUGCAAUGCAGAAUUAUUAGUUUGUGUUGUUUGAUGUUCAGUGGCACCUCCCCAACAUACAGAGGGCACUGAUCCCUCAGAACUUGUGCGCAGCGCAUAUGCUAAAAUUACACAUGUGAGAGAAGUGCAUAGCAGGGAAAGGGCAACGCUCCGAGCAUAUCUGCUUGCUGCUGCCUGUUACUGUCCCUGACACCGUCUGAGUCUCAACUCGGCAAAGCUAAGCAUGUUUAUGGCAGUCUAAAAUUGAGUAAAUCCCAGUUCUUGUGAUGUAGUGUUUCACGCCGUCUCUUUUUUUGCUCCUGUAUCCACCUCUACUCCAAAUGCCAGUUUGUUAGGAAGUUAUAUGUUUCAUAUUUUCUGGUCUGGUAAAAGGUGCAAAGAGCUAUAGGCUUUUACUGUUCUCUUCCAUUACAAAUACAGUUUGUUUUGAAUUGAAAUACACAAGAUCUUGUAUCAGGAGAACGUUUCUAUGCCUUCAGAGACAUUUAUUUUAGUUGUAAUCUAAUUGUUUGCAUUUGAGUGCUACAUUCUCUUGCUCUUCACUAAAACCAAGUGGCAGUAACUGAACUGUCCUGUUGCUUUUGGCAAGACAACUUAAGAAGUCACACCCGGGCUGCUGCUGCUGUUUUAAACCCAUGGUAACGCUGUUAGAUUAGUGGCACAAGGACCGCAGUCUCAGGUAUAGGAGCGGCCCAGCAAGGCCCUUCGUUCUUCAAACAACUCAAAGUCAUGCUGCCCUUAUUGUUGGCUUUCAGUACUCAAGGUUUCCCUCAUGUCUGGCUUCCCUUUGACUUCACGGCUAGGGUUUCAGCUAACGAUGCUAUCAGACAAUAGCAGAACACAAUUCAAAACAACUGCUGGAAAAUCUUUACCCUAUUCCAGAGCUGCCAAGCUGGGACAAAAGCAGAGCUGCAGUACUUACUGUGCAGUGAGCAGUGCCGCUGAGCCUCCCAGGCAUAAAACUAUACAUGCAUUUGCUCACUGUGCACUUAGGUUUUUGUUCUUUCACAAAAGAAUUGCAAAGAGUUUAUAACACAACCAGAAAGCAUACAGAGCUUCUGUAUGUUCUGAGAAUUCACUAUGAUCUUUUUUUUUUUUUUUCUUUUUUUCCCCCCAGCUUUUUCAACCACAGCAUUUCUCUGGAAUUGAAGGCGAUCCCUUAGGACGCAGCACACCAGCUAUGUCAGAACACCAUUUUUCCUCCUUGUUCUUGGUAAACUCAGCUCGUGCCAACUUUCAGACACUUAAGUCACCAAAGCUGCAUCCUGACUGAGCACUGAAUGCAUGCUGCAGUGGUCCCUCUCUAUCUUAGCUGUCCAUCAGCCUGGAUUUUUUUCUGGGGGGGAAAAAAUAGGUGGGGGAGGAAAAAGAGUGAAAAGAUGCCUCAGAAGAUCAAGUUACUCUCUAUGUAAACAGUAAAAUUUGAGUUGGGAAGGAAAAUAGAAAAUUACCAUUUUACAAUUGAAUUUGUAUGUCGAGGAAAGGAUGGUGGAACAUCAUCUUGAUGUAUCCAUCAAGAUUCAAGUCGAUGCCCCAUGGGGAUGCCCAUAAUAUCCCCAGUUACCUCCUUCUUUCUCUGUAAUUAUGAAUAUUAUGGUUUAACUCCAUACAACUGCUAAUAUGACCUAUUGGCAUCAUUCUUAUUAAGGUUUAUUCUUAGAAAAAGAACAAUUGUUUGCUUAAAUUUCUAUCCUCAAAUGGGAAGAAAAAUGAAUAUUAUCAUUCCUGAAUGCACCAGGGCAGAGAUUUCUGAUUAUCCAGAGCAGAGGAAAUAGGAAGCAUGCACAGGACAAAACAAGCAUCAGCAGCUAGACAGCUGAUGGGUGAUGGCUUUGCUUAUUGCAUUCCUAACAGUCUCUGUGUUCUUGUGUUCUUUCCUCAGUCUUUGUCUGUUGUUCAGCUGUCCUCCUCUGUGAUUUAGAUCAUAGACUCCUGGACUAGAGACAAUCCAGCUUGGGAUAUUCUGUGAUUCUGUGACUCUGUACCUCAUUAAUGUGUGAUCUCUUGAAAAAAUGUGGCUCUGAGCAGACCAAAAGUUUGGUUCUACACCUUAAGAAGAUUGUUGCACUGCUCAGCUAAGCCUACUAGUGGUAGCAAGCAUGUGCCUUCACAGUCAGUACAUCAUAUCUAGACAUUUUGUUAGGGAACUUUGCUCUUUUUUUUUUUUUUUUUUGCUAGCAUACAUUCUAAUACAAUGUUCUAUGGAGUUAAACUGUAGUAUUCAAAAUUACGUAAAGAGAAUAGGGUAAUUGGGGAAAUCAUUGAUGCAUCCCAAUGGGGCAUCAAAUUGAAUCUUUGUAAAUACAUGAAGAGAAACUUUUUUUUUUAGUUGAAACCUGGAGUUAAAAACUCACUUUUGAUUAAGAUUGCUAAGUAGCAUUUUCUAAGUGGUUUUAAUUUUACUUUGAGCAACAGCAAGAAAAAUGCAAGACAACACUCCUGUUACUCCAAUCGUCUUUUUUGAAGGCUAUACAGUGCAUAGUAUGCUGCUCCCUAACUGUAAUUCAUUGUGAGCAUGACAGAGGUACAGAAUUGGACACUUGCAGCUGCCCUAUUUACCAGUGAGGACACUUGAGAAAACUGAUGUUUUUGAAGAAACCCAUUGCCGCAUCCAGCAGUGCAGACAAUAGUGGAAGGCAAAGAUCUAACCCCUCUUGCCCAAAAGAUUCAUUAUGGCUCUGCUCUUGACCAACCCACACCAGUUCCUCUCAGACUAGACAUGAUGAGACCAAGAGACUGGAGCUGUUCUGAAAGCUGGACUGUGCAGGAAACAGAACUCUGUCAGUGACAUUCCCAACACUACCCUUAACUUGGCUUUCUGAUGGAAAUAAGCUUUAAGGUCAUGAAUACUUGCUGAAAAGAGAUUUGAGCCACAUGUCAUGAACUUGGAUCAGAAGAGGCAAGAAGGUAUCACUGGGUUUGCCCUUAUCAUUCCAG